GGGUUGUGAGGUUAAGCGACUAAGCGUACACGGUGGAUGCCCUGGCAGUCAGAGGCGAUGAAGGGCGUGCUAAUCUGCGAUAAGCGCCGGUAAGGUGAUAUGAACCGUUAUAACCGGCGAUACCCGAAUGGGGAAACCCAGUGUGACUCGUCACACUAUCAUUAACUGAAUCCAUAGGUUAAUGAGGCGAACCGGGGGAACUGAAACAUCUAAGUACCCCGAGGAAAAGAAAUCAACCGAGAUUCCCCCAGUAGCGGCGAGCGAACGGGGAGGAGCCCAGAGCCUGAAUCAGCAUAUGUGUUAGUGGAAGCGUCUGGAAAGGCGCGCGAUACAGGGUGACAGCCCCGUACACAAAAGCGCAUGUGCUGUGAGCUCGAUGAGUAGGGCGGGACACGUGGUAUCCUGUCUGAAUAUGGGGGGACCAUCCUCCAAGGCUAAAUACUCCUGACUGACCGAUAGUGAACCAGUACCGUGAGGGAAAGGCGAAAAGAACCCCGGCGAGGGGAGUGAAAAAGAACCUGAAACCGUGUACGUACAAGCAGUGGGAGCCCCACCACUAAGCCAGUGGUGAACUCCACAUACGCAUCCUUUGCUGAGGAUACGGUUAACGGAGCGAAAGCGACGUUCAACCUCAAAAGAAGCAGAGGGGGCUUAGUGGUGG
rnacentral:rRNA from 2 species